ensembl:lncRNA
GAUAUAUACAGGGGUACCGGUACAGAGUCAAUGUGGAGGCUAUAUACAGGGGGUACCGGUACAGAGUCAAUGUGGAGGCUAUAUACAGGGGGUACCGGUACAGAGUCAAUGUGGAGGAUAUAUACAGGGGGUACCGGUACAGAGUCAAUGUGGAGGCUAUAUACAGAGGGUACCAGUACAGAGUCAAUGUGGAGGCUAUAUACAGGGGGUACCGGUACAGAGUCAAUGUGGAGGCUAUAUACAGGGAGUACCGGUACAGAGUCAAUGUGGAGGCUAUAUACAGGGGGUACCGGUACAGAGUCAAUGUGGAGACUAUAUACAGGGGGUACCGGUACAGAGUCAAUGUGGAGG